AACGAACGCUGGCGGCAUGCCUAACACAUGCAAGUCGAACGAGAUCUUCGGGUCUAGUGGCGCAUGGGUGCGUAACGCGUGGGAAUCUGCCCUUUGGUUCGGAAUAACAGUUGGAAACGACUGCUAAUACCGGAUGAUGACGAAAGUCCAAAGAUUUGUCGCCAGAGGAUGAGCCCGCGUAGGAUUAGCUAGUUGGUGUGGUAAAGGCGCACCAAGGCGACGAUCCUUAGCUGGUCUGAGAGGAUGAUCAGCCACACUGGGACUGAGACACGGCCCAGACUCCUACGGGAGGCAGCAGUGGGGAAUAUUGGACAAUGGGCGAAAGCCUGAUCCAGCAAUGCCGCGUGAGUGAUGAAGGCCUUAGGGUUGUAAAGCUCCUUUACCCGGGAUGAUAAUGACAGUACCGGGAGAAUAAGCUCCGGCUAACUCCGUGCCAGCCGCCGCCGUAA
rnacentral:rRNA from 1 species